UUGCUUCAGCAGCACGUGCACCAAAAUUGGAACAAUGCAAAGAAGAUUAGCAUGGUCUGUGCUCAAGGAUGACACUAAGAUCUAUAAAGUGUCCCAUAAAACU
ensembl:snRNA U6 U6 spliceosomal RNA